rnacentral:lncRNA from 1 species
CUAAUUUGACCCUAGUCGGAAAGUGGUUUCGGGACCACAAAAUCGAGACACGAAAAUAAUUAAAUACUAUAUUCUAUGUCUAAUAUAUGUGAAAAUGCAUGUGUGAAUCUUUGAAUGCUUUGAUUUUUGUCAUUUGAUGUGAAUUAAUCAAAAAGGGCUUAGUUGUUAAACAUUGAAAUCUUGCUAGGCAAAAUUAAAAAGUGGUUGAAUAGUUGUAGUUACAAAAAAAAGAGUCCUUGCAUGUCAAAUAGCCCAUCUUUAAGUGUAGUGGGCGUAAUGAUGAUGAAUCAUGAAUAAAAUAUGAUUUUAUUAUUUUUAUUUUAUAAGUUAAAUUGUUUUAUAAUAUGAAAUGAAUAUUAUAAUAUUAAAGGAAUAUUAAUAUUAUAACAAUAGUGAUAAAAACAAUGUUUUCAUGGGGGGUUCAUCUUCUCACCUAGCCGAACUUGUGAGGAGGGGAGGAGAAAAAUUCCUAAGGCAUUUGGCACUUUGUUUUCUUCUAUUAGGUAAGCUCUCUUGAAAAUUUUGAUGUAAACUUGAUUAUUAAGGUUAUUGUUAAGUUGUCUAGCUAACUCAUGGUCCAAUUCUUGUUUAUAAUUGUUAAGCAUGUUUCGGCCAUGGAUGCUUUGAUAAGAAUUCUUGUGUUUGAUGCUUUAAAAUGUGAAAUAAUGUUGGAAAUUGGGAAUUAAUAAGAAAUUGGGUGGUGAAAACAAAGUUUUCACGCUUUACUUUCCUUCAAUUGCCGUAGCUUAAAGAACAAAGAAACAAUUAGGCUCUAUGGUGUUCGGCCCUUGUGAAGGCAAUUUGAGGUAUGUUUGAUUUUAUAUCUUGAUGAAUAAGGUUAGUUGUGGCUAGUUAGAUAGAUAGUAAUUGGCUAUAAGGGUUAAAAUGCAUGAAUAGUACAUAGUGGGUUAAAAUAAUGCUUGUAUGAGGUAUAUUUGUCCUAAAUGGCUAUUGAUGUUCGACAAUUGGCAAGAAAUGAAUUAUGAAUUUGAAUUUUGAGGGAAAGAACGAAUGUUAAAUUUCAGUGUAUAUGGUUGCCGAAUUUGAUUAUGGAUAGUGAAUAGAGGGAU